GCAAAACAUGAAAGGAGGAAUUAAAACAUCACAAGGCAGGAACAGAUAAAGAAGCAGAAAGUGAUUCUCCUACUUGUUUCUCUAGGGGCAUAAUAAUUGAAUAGUCAUAGCCGACCACAAACUCGUGCACCGCUUGCGGACCCAACUAAUUACUAGUAGGGGCUGUAGCCCCCUAUUAAAUUUCCUUUAGGUUAUUCAAUCUUCCAUAUACAUCUAAGCUUUCCAACUAAUUACUAGUAGGGGCUGUAGCCCCCUAUUAAAUUUCCUUUAGGUUAUUCAAUCUUCCAUAUACAUCUAAGCUUUCCUUGUGACACUGUUUUACACAUCCCUACUCUUACUAUUGCCAACAUGCUACCAUUCGAAGCCCAAAGAUGGAAUCCAUUUUUUCUUUUUAAUCUUUUCCAACUUUUCGGAUAAGUUCACACAGAGAACCAAAAAAUGUGUCCAUUCUAUUCAUGGCAUCGGGCAUGGGAUCACAACCUGUCUCGUUACAAGUUAUCAUUUGGUAAUGCAAAGCAUGUAUGCAUAUGACAAUAAAGGGAAAGUCAAGAAGACAGUCAAGCAUUCUACUACGUAGGGAAGAGAUGAAGCAACUUCAUCAUAACAUAGUGGUGACAAAAGAUCAAAGAAAUUAAUCAUUGAUGAAGAAUAGUAUCAUAAAAGGACAUGUUAAGUA
rnacentral:lncRNA from 1 species